rnacentral:rRNA from 1 species
UACGGCGGCCAUAGCGACAGGGAAACGCCCGGACCCAUCCCGAACCCGGAAGCUAAGCCUGUCAGCGCCGAUGGUACUGCACCCGACAGAGUGUGGGAGAGUAGGACACCGCCGGAA